GACGAACGCUGACGGCGUGCCUAAUACAUGCAAGUUGAGCGCUGAAGGUUGGUACUUGUACCGACUGGAUGAGCAGCGAACGGGUGAGUAACGCGUGGGGAAUCUGCCUUUGAGCGGGGGACAACAUUUGGAAACGAGUGCUAAUACCGCAUAAAAACUUUAAACACAAGUUUUAAGUUUGAAAGAUGCAAUUGCAUCACUCAAAGAUGAUCCCGCGUUGUAUUAGCUAGUUGGUGAGGUAAAGGCUCACCAAGGCGAUGAUACAUAGCCGACCUGAGAGGGUGAUCGGCCACAUUGGGACUGAGACACGGCCCAAACUCCUACGGGAGGCAGCAGUAGGGAAUCUUCGGCAAUGGACGAAAGUCUGACCGAGCAACGCCGCGUGAGUGAAGAAGGGUGUCGGAUCGUAAAACUCUGUUGGUAGAGAAGAACGUUGGCGAGAGUGGAAAGCUCAUCAAGUGACGGUAACUACCCAGAAAGGGACGGCUAACUACGUG
rnacentral:rRNA from 1 species